ACAAACAAGCCUACUUGAUUAAGUUAAAAAGAUUUUUUGAUUAAAUUCAUUAUAAUGUCCUUGUGAUUUAAUUUAUUACAAUUUAAAAAUUGCGAAAAUAUAUUACACAAAAUUUAAAUAAAUAUGAUAACUAUGUGAAUUCACUAAUUAUAAAUUAUUAAUUAUUAGUAUCAACGAAAGUAUAAUUUUAAAGCCUGCUUAUGACAGUCAGAAUUGAUUUAAGGUAAUUAAAUUUUCAUAUCAAAUAAUCGUAGCCUGACUCGUCCGGAGAAGAGUUUUAUGAAUGAUCUCUAGCUAUAAUAAGAGCACUGGCAGAUGCACUUGGCUUGUCACUAUGUUUUAUAACAAGUUGUAUGUACUUGGCAAUUGUUCCAAAUCGGUUCUGUUAACAGAAAUAAAACAUCUGCCGUCUGGCAUUCAUGAGGCUAAUUAAGAAAAUCUCGUUCCGUAGACUAAUAACAUUCUAGGUCAAACGAAGAAAUAAGUAAAGAAUCUGGGUACCUAACAAGCUUUUCACUUAACAUAACUUACAAGGAAAGCACGCGUUGUCAAACAAAGUAAAAAUAGUUAUGUGUUAUGUAAAAGCAACCGUGAUCACGGGCAGACGAGAUGUGAUGAUGAUGAUGAUUAGCUUCAUUUUUAGGCUCCAUAAUUGAAGAACGACGAGAAAUAUAGAUAGAUAGUAACGAGACGCGCUGACGCCGCUGUGGCGCCACCGUUGCUCCUUAGCCAUGCAAGACGAAGUGCUUUAACCUACUAACAGUUAUUAAGUUUUUAUAGCCGUAUAAAAUUUAUUGCGUCAAACUAAUGUUUACAUUAAACGGUUUUUUUCCUAUAUAAA